rnacentral:ribozyme from 1 species
UGAAAAAGCUAAGACCCCAACAAGCACAACAAAUGUAAGCUACCCAAACACAAGUGUAAGUUACUUGGCGGCCUUCAUUACUUUUUUAUUACUUUUCUUUUCUUUUCUUUUCUUUUCUUUUCUUUUUUGCGUGUAAGAUGAUGAGAACGCAACAAAAUGAACAUGUACUUGCUAUGAAUGAAGAAGUAAUAAUCUUCAUGAACUCAGAUUGAUUGAUCAAAUAAUGGUAUUUUUAUCAUCAAUAUAUAUU